UCCGGUUGAUCCUGCCGGAGACCACUGCUAUCGGAGUCCGAUUAAGCCAUGCUAGCCGACCGUGUUAGACACGGGGCAGAUAGCUGAGUAACACGUGGCCAACUUACUCUACGGAUCAGGACAACCUCGGGAAACUGAGGAUAAACCUGAAUAAGAGAAAGCUACUGGAAGGUGCUUUCUCCGAAACGUUCCGGCGCCGUAGAAUAGGGCUGCGGCUGAUUAGGUUGACGGUGAGGUAACGGCUCACCGUGCCAAAGAUCAGUAGCGGGCGUGAGAGCGCGAGCCGCCAGACGGGUUCUGAGACAAGAACCCGGGUCCUACGGGACGCAGCAGGCGCGAAACCUUCACAAUGCGUGAAAGCGUGAUGGGGGGACUCCGAGUGCUCGUUGCUCACAAAGUAGCGAGCUUUACCUAAGUGUAAGGAGCUUAGGAUAAUAAGGGGAGGGCAAGACCGCUGCCAGCCGCCGUGGUAAUAGCGGCUCCCCAAGUGGUGGUCACGAUUAUUGGUUUAAAGCGUCCGUAGCCGGUCUGGUCAGUCUUCUGUGAAAUCUGGCGGCUCAACCGUCAGACGCGCAGAGGAUACUGCCAGACUUGAGGCCGGCCGGAGUCGGGGGUAUUCCCGGGGUAGGGGUGAAAUCCUAAAAUCCUGGGAGGACCGCCAGUGGCGAAAGCGCCCGACUAGGACGGACCUGACGGUGAGGGACGAAAGCCAGGGGAGCAAAGCGGAUUAGAUACCCGCGUAGUCCUGGCCGUAAACAUUGCCCGCUUGAUGUCAGGGAUCCCUUGAGGAUCCCUGGUGUCGAAGGAAAACCGUUAAGCGGGCCGCCUGGGAGUACGGUCCGCAAGGCUGAAACUUAAAGGAAUUGACGGGGGAGCACCACAAGCGGUGGAGGCUGCGGUUUAAUUAGAUCCAACGCAGGAACCCUACCGGGGCCGACAGCAGAAUGAGGUCAGCCUGAAGGGCUUACCUGACAAGCUGAGAGGUGUUGCAUGGCCGCCGUCAGCUCGUGCCGUGAGGUGUCCUGUUAAGUCAGGUAACGAGCGAGACCCGUGUCUUAUGUUGCUA
rnacentral:rRNA from 1 species